rnacentral:misc_RNA from 1 species
GAUGAAGAACGCAGCGAAAUGCGAUACUUGGUGUGAAUUGCAGAAUCCCGUGAACCAUCGAGUCUUUGAACGCAAGUUGCGCCCGAAGCCAUUAGGCCGAGGGCACGCCUGCCUGGGCGUCACACGUCGUUGCCCCCCCAUCUACUCCUUCGGGAUUGCGGGGGGCGGAUGAUGGCCUCCCGUGCGCCUCGUCGCGCGGUUGGCAUAAAUGCCAAGUCCUCGGCGACGCACGCCACGACAAUCGGUGGUUGCGAAACCUCGGUUGCCCGUCGUGUGCGGUCGUCGCGCAUCGAGGGCACGAAAAAAUUGCCGGGCUCCGGCUCGGCUUUCAACGCGACCCCAGGUCAGGCGGGGUUACCCGCUGAAUUUAAGCAUAUCAAUAAGCGGAGGA